rnacentral:rRNA from 1 species
UACGGAGGGUGCAAGCGUUAUCCGGAUUCACUGGGUUUAAAGGGUGCGUAGGUGGGCAAGUAAGUCAGUGGUGAAAUCUCCGGGCUUAACCCGGAAACUGCCAUUGAUACUAUUUGUCUUGAAUACUGUGGAGGUCAGCGGAAUAUGUCAUGUAGCGGUGAAAUGCUUAGAUAAUGACACAGAACACCGAUUGCGAAGGCAGCUCACAAAACUGUAACUGACGCUGAGGCACGACAGCGUGGGGAUCAAACAGG